UCAGUAGUUGGGGAAUCUCUGGCUAGUAACCCCAGAGUAUCUGUGAUUCUGAAGGCAACCAAGAAUGGAGAACAUCUUUAUCCUGAGCAUCUCUGUGCUGAUCCUGUGGCUUCAUCUGGGCUGGGUGAGCUGCCAGCAGAAGGUAGAGCAGACACAGUUCCUGAGGGUCCAGGAGGGAGACAGUGCCACUCUUAACUGCAAUUACACGGAUAGUAUUGCCAGCUACUUUUUAUGGUAUCAUCAGUCUCCUGGGAAAGGCCCUGUUUUACGGAUAGCAGGCUAUUCAAGCGGUGAUGAGGAAGGACGAUUCACAAUCAGCGUUAACAAAGAGGCCAAACAAUUCUCUCUGCACAUCUCAGCUUCCCAGCCUGUAGACUCAGGCACCUACUUCUGUGCAGCAGUGACACAGUGCUCCUUGGGCCCCUGCAGUCAGUGCAUAAACCCCGCAGCUGGGGCUACAGACUUAGUCUGCCAUCAGACAGACCCGGAAACUGAACAGCAUCAGCCUAUGGUGACUGCGGUGAUUGGAUUCUCAGGGAUUGACUGA